rnacentral:rRNA from 1 species
UCCAGAGGGUGCUAGCGUUGUUCGGAUUUACUGGGCGUAAAGGGCGCGUAGGCGGUUUAGAAAGUCAGAUGUGAAAGCCCGGGGCUUAACUCCGGAAGUGCAUUUGAAACUUCUAGGCUAGAGUACAGUAGAGGUUGGUGGAAUUCCCAGUGUAGAGGUGAAAUUCGUAGAUAUUGGGAGGAACACCAGUGGCGAAGGCGGCCAACUGGGCUGUAACUGACGCUGAGGCGCGAAAGCGUGGGGAUCAAACAGG